GAAGGGGAAGUUGUUUGCCUUUUCUCAGGUGUUAAAUAGAGUGGGGAGUUUUCGAGUGGCCUGUUCUUUGCUACUAAAUCGCACUUUUCUGUUCUCUUUGAGUGUAUGACCCUCCCUGUGACAAUGGUUUUAUCCUGCAGUCCCUGUGGUAUCUUCAUCAACCUGUGUUUCAUAAAGAAAUCCAUCGAGUACAGGUCACGCAGUAGAUGAAAAAAGAAGGCCAGUUUUUGAUAUCAAAGCUUUUUAACUUCAUGAUGGCAUGCGAGGGGUAACCACAACUGGCUCAUGAUGUCAGCACAAG